rnacentral:rRNA from 1 species
CCUACGGGGCGCAGCAGUGAGGAAUAUUGGUCAAUGGGCGAGAGCCUGAACCAGCCAAGUCGCGUGAAGGAUGAAGGAUCUAUGGUUUGUAAACUUCUUUUAUAUGGGAAUAAAGUGAGGAACGUGUUCCUUUUUGUAUGUACCAUAUGAAUAAGCAUCGGCUAACUCCGUGCCAGCAGCCGCGGUAAUACGGAGGAUGCGAGCGUUAUCCGGAUUUAUUGGGUUUAAAGGGUGCGUAGGUGGUUAAUUAAGUCAGCGGUGAAAGUUUGUGGCUCAACCAUAAAAUUGCCGUUGAAACUGGUAGACUUGAGUAUAUUUGAGGUAGGCGGAAUGCGUGGUGUAGCGGUGAAAUGCAUAGAUAUCACGCAGAACUCCGAUUGCGAAGGCAGCUUACUAAACUAUAACUGACACUGAAGCACGAAAGCGUGGGGAUCAAACAGGAUUAGAUACCCUUGUAGUC